GGGCAGCAUACACUUCGGUGUGAUGGCGACCGGCGAACGGGUGCGUAACGCGUAUGCAAUCUGCCUUGUACAGGAGGAUAGCUUCUGGAAACGGAAGUUAAUACUCCAUAUUAUCUUUUUGUCGCAUGACAGUAAGAUGAAAGCUCCGGCGGUACAAGAUGAGCAUGCGUCCCAUUAGUUUGUUGGUAGGGUAAAGGCCUACCAAGACUAUGAUGGGUAGGGGGUCUGAGAGGAUGAUCCCCCACACUGGCACUGAGAUACGGGCCAGACUCCUACGGGAGGCAGCAGUAGGGAAUAUUGGUCAAUGGGCGCAAGCCUGAACCAGCCAUGCCGCGUGCAGGAUUGAAGGUCCUUAGGAUUGUAAACUGCUUUUUUAUGGGAGCAAUAACUUCUUGCGAGGAGCAUUGAGAGUACCAUAAGAAUAAGCACCGGCUAACUCCGUGCCAGCAGCCGCGGUAAUACGGAGGGUGCAAGCGUUAUCCGGAUUUAUUGGGUUUAAAGGGUACGUAGGUGGCAGAGUCAGUCAGUGGUGAAAGCCAACAGCUUAACUGUUGAAUUGCCGUUGAUACUGCUUUGCCUGAGUUCAGUCGAGGUAAGUGGAAUUCCGUGUGUAGUGGUGAAAUGCUUAGAUAUACGGAGGAACGCCGAUAACGAAAGUAGCUUACUAGGCUGUAACUGACGCUGAGGUACGAAAGCGUGGGGAGCGAACGGGAUUAGAGACCCCGGUAGUCCACGCUGUAAACGAUGAUCACUCGAUGUAUACUUUCUGAAAGUAUGUAUCUAAGCGAAAGCGUUAAGUGA
rnacentral:rRNA from 1 species